rnacentral:tRNA from 1 species
ACUAUUUUGGCAGAAGAUAUAGUGCAAUAAAUUUAGAAUUUAUAAAUGUAAUUUUUAUUACAAAUAGUA